ensembl:lncRNA
CCACUUCCACUGCUUAUAUCUUUUCUUCCCCCUCCAAGUCUGACUAGCAGAUCCUUCCUCAGCCAUGCUGAAGAUUUAUGAAGAAGGCAGAGCAGAAGAGGACUGCAGACAGGUUUUGAAAACCUGGAAAACUGAGGUAGACUUAGAUCAAGAUUGAGUAACUAUUCUAGGAUCUGGAUGCACUUCGAAUCAGGCCCCAAGUCCUGCAAUAACACUGAGAAUUACAUAGCAUUUCAUCGUCUCUGGAUCAUGAAUGCUCAUUAGCUAAAGGUUUGUUUGUCUCUAAUUAUGAUACAUUAGGUUCAUCCAUUGAUCAACGUUGUGUGCAAGCUCAGAACCCUCAGGAGGCAAUGCAGUGGUAUCAGAUAGACAACAAUAUCUGCAGGCUGGUGACAACUUUCUCCCCAACUCCAGUACAAAAUAGGGACCUCUUUUAAAUUACAGCAGUUCAAAAGGGUGUGAAAACGUCAGCCCUUGGACAUCCUAUUGACUGACAUGAUUACUUGGCUCCCAGUUGUGGGCCUAUUUACUCAUUACAUGUAACAAGGUUAAUCUUCGCAAACUCAUUGGAGCACUCAGUAGCGUUUGAUUUCAUCCCUAUUUUCCUACUGGUAGGAAGGAACAGCAAUAAGCAUUUUUUCUGAGAAUUCAGCAUUGAUUUUUCUCCCCUAUUCCCCUGGCAUCCAUCCCGAACUUCCCAUGUGUUCCAAGCUCACUUCAAGGGAAAAUGCAGAAAAACAGCUGAGUGGUGUGUUACUAGAAAGUUCCCACUACAUCUUACACAGUACAGGGCUUGCUUUCAUACACUGCUAGAACCGUGCUCUGCAUUGCUAAUUUUACACGUCUUGCUGCUGCCAGCUCUAAUGCUGUAUCCAAAUGGUUUUGGUAGAAAAUAGGGAGAGAUACCUAAACUUAAUUAUUUUCUUAUUCUUCUCAAUGAAGGCUUAUUUUCAAUCGGGCAGCUCCCAUGGAUAUCAGCACUUAGUUUGUGUGAGCAGACAGAGCAGGUAAAGAUUGAUCAUCUGUUCGAUAUCACUGAGGAGCGGGAACCCCUUAAAAAAUAAAUAACUAAAUUU